rnacentral:rRNA from 1 species
AUGGCGACCCCCAACCCGCCGCCGCCCCAGCAGGACGAGCCCUCCUCCUCCGCCGAUCCCAAGGCGAAGAAGGACUACUCGACGGCGAUCCUCGAGAGGAAGAAGUCCCCCAACCGCCUCGUGGUCGACGAGGCCACCAAUGACGACAACUCCGUCGUCGCCCUCCACCCCGACACCAUGGAGAGGCUCCAGCUCUUCCGCGGCGACACCGUCCUCCUCAAGGGUAAAAAGAGGAAGGACACCAUCUGCAUUGUUCUUGCUGAUGACACAUGUGAGGAGCCGAAGGUCAGAAUGAACAAAACUGUCAGGAAGAACUUGAGAGUGAGACUUGGUGAUGUGGUGUCUGUUCAUCAAUGCCCCGAUGUGAAAUACGGGAAGCGGGUGCACAUACUUCCUAUUGAUGACACAGUUGAAGGGAUUACAGGAAACUUGUUUGACGCCUUCUUGAAACCAUACUUCCUUGAAGCCUACCGCCCUUUGAGAAAGGGAGACCUUUUCCUUGUUAGGGGUGGAAUGAGAAGCGUGGAGUUCAAAGUUAUAGAGACUGACCCGGCAGAGUAUUGCAUUGUUGCACCAGACACUGAGAUCUUCUGUGAUGGUGAGCCUGUUAAGAGGGAGGAUGAGGAGAGGCUUGACGAUGUUGGCUACGAUGAUGUUGGUGGAGUCAGGAAGCAAAUGGCCCAGAUCAGAGAACUGGUUGAACUCCCACUGCGUCACCCUCAACUUUUCAAGUCUAUUGGUGUGAAGCCUCCAAAGGGCAUAUUGCUGUUUGGACCACCUGGCUCUGGCAAGACCCUUAUUGCGAGGGCUGUUGCCAAUGAGACGGGCGCAUUCUUCUUCCUGAUCAAUGGCCCAGAAAUUAUGUCCAAGUUAGCAGGAGAAAGUGAGAGCAAUCUCAGGAAGGCAUUUGAAGAAGCAGAGAAGAAUGCACCAUCAAUCAUCUUCAUUGAUGAGAUUGAUUCAAUAGCCCCAAAGAGAGAGAAGACCAAUGGAGAAGUUGAAAGGCGUAUUGUGUCUCAGCUGUUGACCCUUAUGGAUGGGCUUAAGUCCCGUGCGCAUGUUAUUGUUAUGGGUGCUACAAACCGCCCAAACAGUAUUGAUCCCGCUCUCAGAAGAUUUGGUAGGUUUGAUCGUGAGAUUGACAUUGGAGUCCCUGAUGAAGUUGGCCGCCUUGAAGUUCUCAGGAUUCACACCAAAAACAUGAAGUUAGCUGAAGAUGUUGAACUGGAACACAUUUCUCGAGACACCCAUGGGUAUGUUGGUGCUGAUCUUGCUGCUCUUUGUACUGAGGCUGCUCUUCAGUGCAUUCGUGAGAAGAUGGAUAUUAUAGAUCUUGAGGAUGAGACCAUAGAUGCUGAGAUACUGAAUUCUAUGGCUGUGACAAACGACCAUUUCAAGACUGCACUAACGACAAGCAACCCAUCUGCUCUCCGUGAAACUGUUGUUGAAGUUCCCAAUGUCUCUUGGGAAGAUAUUGGUGGUCUGGAGAAUGUCAAGCGGGAGUUGCAGGAGACUGUCCAAUACCCUGUGGAGCAUCCAGAGAAAUUCGAGAAGUUUGGCAUGUCUCCAUCCAAAGGUGUUCUGUUCUAUGGCCCUCCUGGCUGUGGUAAAACCUUGUUGGCCAAGGCAAUUGCAAAUGAGUGCCAGGCUAACUUCAUCAGUAUCAAGGGACCUGAGCUGCUUACCAUGUGGUUUGGUGAGAGCGAGGCUAAUGUGCGUGAGAUCUUUGACAAGGCUAGAGGGUCAGCACCAUGUGUCCUCUUCUUUGAUGAGCUUGACUCUAUUGCCACCCAGAGAGGAAGCAGUGUUGGGGAUGCUGGAGGUGCAGCUGAUAGAGUGCUAAACCAGCUAUUGACUGAGAUGGAUGGCAUGAACGCCAAGAAAACUGUCUUCAUCAUUGGUGCUACCAACAGGCCAGACAUCAUAGACCCUGCCUUGCUGAGGCCAGGGCGUCUUGAUCAGCUUAUCUACAUCCCUCUUCCUGAUGUCGAGUCGAGGCACCAGAUCUUCAAGGCUUGCCUCAGGAAGUCUCCUUUGGCCAAGGAUAUUGAUCUGAGUGCUCUGGCCAAGUACACCCAAGGGUUCAGCGGUGCUGAUAUCACAGAAAUUUGCCAGCGUGCUUGCAAAUACGCCAUCAGGGAGAACAUCGAGAAGGACAUCGAGAGGGAGAGGCGGAGGAAGGACAACCCUGAAGCUAUGGAGGAGGAUGAGGUGGAUGAGGUCGCUGAGAUCAGGGCUGCUCACUUUGAGGAGUCGAUGAAGUAUGCACGCAGGAGUGUGAGCGAUGCAGACAUCCGCAAGUACCAGGCCUUUGCCCAGACUCUGCAACAGUCCCGUGGAUUCGGCAGCGAGUUCCGGUUCCCUGAUCAGCCGGCCGCGGGCGCCGCCUCUGCUGCUGCCGCGGACCCUUUUGCAUCCGCUGCCGCAGCAGCUGAAGAUGACGACUUAUAUAGCUAA